ensembl:lncRNA
CCCCAGGCCCAAUAUAUAUACUUCUUAAAAUAUUGACAUAUAAAAAGUAUUAAUCUUUAGAGAUUGUAAAAAUUCUAACUGUUGGAUUCUACAAGGCAUUAACAUCAUAAGUGCUCUAAUAAAUUUUUGUCAAAAAUCAAUCAUUAAUAUUCUAAAAUGUAGAUAAAUAAUACACGUCUAGCAGUUUUCAAAGUCAUGCUAAUUCAUCAUGCUUUCGCUUUCAAAUAGCUUUUUAAGAGCCCUCUGCUUAUUCCAGUCCCCCCCCUUUAAAAUCUUUUAAAAUUAUUAAUAACCUAUUAACAUUGAGCACUUCAUUAAAAUCCAAAAAAUAUGAGGGAGUACAUGUCUUUGUCCUUGACCUUUAGAAACCUCAAAUAUAGCUUGGUAUUGCUGUUUUUAACAUUUUCUGGAGCAUUUAGGAUUCACUUAGAAAUAAGCCUUUUGGGAGAAAAAUGUAUCUAACACCACUCACUCUCUUUUUUUCCACUGGCUACUUCUAUUUUUCCCCCUUUCAUUUCCCUAGACUUCUCAAUGCUUUUUUAUAAAGGCGCUUGAGUUCUGUUUCUCAACAGCUCCCUCAUUUAUUGCAUGAUUCACACAGUCACUGGAACAUUAUAGGUUCUUAAUAAAAUUUUUGAAUGAUUGAAAGAGAGAAAAGUAUUUUACCUGUGAUAUAUUGAUAUUUAAAUAAACUAAAACACUUAAAGGAAAACAUUUUGCUGGAACCAAAUACUCUUCGGUGUACAAUGAAUUACAAUUUUUUAAAUUGAAUUGAUCACCAUUGUUCAAACAUGCAGUUAUCAUUCUGUUGUUGCUUUCCUUCAACGUAUUUUUCCUUUUUCUCUUAAUGCUUAAAUUGAGCCUCCUCUCCUGUCCACUGGCUUAAGAAAUACAGAUGAAAUUGUGGUUUUUAAUUUUGUUACUUAAAUUUCCUUCCAUAGUUCCCUAAAUGACUAACCCAACUGUUUUCAUUUCUUGCAGUUUACUUUCUCAUCCAUACAUUAAAACAAAUCUUAAUUAUUAAUGUUACUCAGUCUAUCUUUACAUUUUUAUAUGAUUUCUACAUACAUUUGAAUGAGCUUUCCUAUUAAAAUUGUAAUAUUAACUUUGAAGGUCUUGUUUUGAGAUUAGCAGUGGGGUAGAGCGCUGUGUUGGUAUCAAAAGUCUCUGAUCAACCAACUCAUUACCUGUAAGAUUUUGGAUAAGUCACAAAGUUUCUCUUCUUCUACCCCAAAUGAUAACAGGUAUUUGAAUAGCUUGCAGUUAUACUCAAUAUAAAGACAUAAAAGUGAUAUUGCUAUUAUUUUUAGUAUCACUAGUAUUAAGAGCAAACAUUCUUGAUAAUUGUGUAGAAGUACAAAAGAGGCUACAUUGAACACAUAUUUGCAUUGUUUUAUUUCUCUACCAACAACCUUGCAAUGGCUUCCUUUUGUUCUCAGAAUAAAAUGCAAGCACCCAUUAUUUGGCCUUGGUUUACCUUUUCAGCCUUCCUUUCCACUUACUCUUGAGACAUUAAGUUUUGUAUUCACUGUCCUUCAUUCAUUAUCUCAAUAGCUAUGCUUCGCUCUCUCAGGGCCUUCACACAUUCUACAGUCUUAGCUUGGCACACUUCUCCUAUUUCGUGUUUCAGAUUAAAUGGUGCACCUUGGGGGAAACUUUCUUAAUCACUCUCCAUUAACGUAGGUCCCCGUAUUGCAUACUUUCAGUGCACUCAGUACCUUUUCUAUGUAGCACUUUUCACACUGUUUAAACAUCUGUUUAAAGACUGUACACCCACUAGAUGGAAAAUUGUUGUAAGAUAUACAGACAUUGUCUUGUUACCACCACUUGCCUAACUUCUACAAACUCAACAAUUAUCUGUGGAAACAAGCUAAUACAGAUGAAAUGAAUAAUUGCAAAUUUGCUCUGAAAUAAGAAGAGAAAGCACUUUAAGUGUUCCUUGAGCGUGAUAAUGUGGAAGAAAUUAGGCAUUUGUAGCCCUCCGGAUCCACCUCUGACAUGAUAUAUUUUCCUUUUUACCACCUUGCAGGAGGUGUCUUUUCCUUUUAUUUUUCUGGUAUAGGCAAUUCGGACUCAUUUCACAAAGUUUAGAAAAAAAAGAAAAA